UGUUAUCAUAUAUUAUCGAAUUCGAUGUUCUCAAUCGAUACAUCAAUUCCCAUAUAAAACAGAAAAUUGUGUAAUGUCAAAACAUUAAAAAAAUUAAAAUUAAAAUUUUACCAGUAAAACAAAAGCUUAAGAAUCUUAAAUAUUAUUCAAGGAAUAAGAGUUUCAUGAAGAAUACAACAUAAUUGAUACCACCAUCGAUAUCAGACAUCACUCAAUGUCGUCCAUUCUGGCCAAAGUACAAAAUCGAAAUCCAGAAAAAUACUGAUCUGUGGUUAUUCAUGAAUUGUCUUCAAUGAAACGGAAAUGUACGACUACAUGUAUGUAUAUCCCAAUUUAUUCCGUCAUGUUGGAGUCCAUUACGAAGGAGCAUAUCACAUCUUAAAAUCCUAAUGGCGUUUAAGUACAUAUUAUUAUACAUAUGUAUGUAUUGGUUUCUGUUAAUUUUUCUUUUAGAAUUUUAUUUUCAAUAAAAAUAAUAAAAAAAAA